CCGCAGCUGGUGGACUCGUGCUUUACACAACGGCAUCGACUGAACCACGUUGAAGGAACUCGGCAAAAUGCUCUAUUGACUUCGGAGGAUGAGAGACCCAACUGGGUGGCACAUAAUCGGCGGCAGCGACUGUUUACCAAAAACACAUGACUCUGCAAAGCGCAGCUCGCGGCGCAUCGCACAGGGUCUGACGCCUGCCCAACGGCAAACGCAAACGGCGGCGGCAACCAUAACCGUCCUAAGGUAGCGAAGUUCCUUGACGCUUAAUUGGCGUCCUGCAUGAAUGGCUGAACGACUGCCGCGCUGUCUCCAACGUGGACUCUGUGAAUUUGAAUUCCCCGUGCAGAUGCGGGAAGGCUGGCAUGGGACGAAGAGACCCUAGCAGUUUC
rnacentral:rRNA from 1 species